AGAUUGAUAAACAUCUGUUUUAUGUUUAGGACACGCUUUUAAGAGGUUUAAAGAACACACAUUUCAUAUGUAAAACUUAAAGUUAAAAAAAUGAAGA